CACCAGAUUCCCCCGGGGAAGAAGUACAGCAGCCCAACUUUUUAUCCCUGCCGGAAGAGGAUACCAUGGAACACUUAUUAGGGGCUGUUCCAGAACAGAAUAGUGUCAUUUCAGGAGUAGAAUUCCCGUCCUGUUCCGAUGUAGAGAAGGGAGUCGGGGACUUGCUUUCCACCUACGGGAAGACUGCUACCCGCAGGGAUCACUUAUCCCGUUUGGUAGAGGAAUUGCUGCUUGAGUCCUCAGAUGAGCACGACCGGCUCAAGUUAUUUUCCAUUAUGCAUUCCAUAAGACAGGGAGAUGCCGAAAGGAGUAAAAGUGAAGCGGGGAACACCCUCGUGGAAAAGUACGAACGAUAUUUUAAAAGGAGAUAUGGGAAGUCCAUAUACUUAGGUCGUAAUAAGUAGGUAUAAUUGAAUAUUUCAAAGGUCGGAAGCAGGUGGGCAAAACGGAUAGCAAGGUUCAAAGAAAGGGUUGGUUAAGCAGCCCCGCUGGGGAGAAGGAGUACGAGCAAUCGAGCUGUGGAGAUGGAAGGCAAGCUGGUUACGAUAAUGGAGAUACCCGGAUCUAGGAAAGCAAGCAAGCACUUUCGAAAGCAGGAAGUAGGGAUUCCCGAUUUUACGUAACAUUAAAGGAAAGGAUGG
rnacentral:lncRNA from 1 species